rnacentral:piRNA from 1 species
UGGAUGUGUUCAGAAGACCUCUUGCCCUUC